rnacentral:rRNA from 1 species
UACGGAGGGUGCGAGCGUUGUCCGGAAUCAUUGGGCGUAAAGGGCGCGUAGGUGGCCUGUGCAAGCGUGCGGUGAAAGCCCCGGGCUCAACCUGGGAACUGCGCUCGAAACGGCGGAACUAGAGUUCGGGAGAGGAGAGUGGAAUUCCCAGUGUAGAGGUGAAAUUCGUAGAUAUUGGGAAGAACACCGGUGGCGAAGGCGGCUCUCUGGACCGAGACUGACGCUGAGGCGCGAAAGCGUGGGGAGCAAACAGG